GACGAACGCUGGCGGCGUGCUUAACACAUGCAAGUCGAACGGAAAGGCCCUGCUUUUGUGGGGUGCUCGAGUGGCGAACGGGUGAGUAACACGUGAGUAACCUGCCCUUGACUUUGGGAUAACUUCAGGAAACUGGGGCUAAUACCGGAUAGGAGCUCCUGCUGCAUGGUGGGGGUUGGAAAGUUUCGGCGGUUGGGGAUGGACUCGCGGCUUAUCAGCUUGUUGGUGGGGUAGUGGCUUACCAAGGCUUUGACGGGUAGCCGGCCUGAGAGGGUGACCGGCCACAUUGGGACUGCGAUACGGACCAGACUCCUACGGGAGGCAGCAGUGGGGAAUAUUGCACAAUGGGCGGAAGCCUGAUGCAGCAACGCCGGGUGCGGGAUGACGGCUUUCGGGUUGUAAACCGCUUUCGCCUGUGACGAAGCGUGAGUGACGGUAAUGGGUAAAGAAGCACCGGCUAACUACGUG
rnacentral:rRNA from 1 species